GUGGCCUAGUGGUUAGAGCGUACGCCACGAAUGCGGGAGGUCGUGGGUUCGAACCCCGGCUAAGUCA